rnacentral:rRNA from 1 species
CAGUCGCCGCGGUAAAACGGAGGGUGCAAGCGUUAUCCGGAUUCACUGGGUUUAAAGGGUGCGUAGGCGGAUCUGUAAGUCAGUGGUGAAAUCUCCAGGCUUAACCUGGAAACUGCCGUUGAUACUAUAGGUCUUGAAUUUUGUGGAGGUUAGCGGAAUAUGUCAUGUAGCGGUGAAAUGCAUAGAUAUGACGUAGAACACCAAUUGCGAAGGCAGCUGGCUACACAACUAUUGACGCUGAGGCACGAAAGCGUGGGGAUCAAACAGGAUUAGAUACCCCUGUAGUCCCUGUCUCUUAUAA